rnacentral:rRNA from 1 species
ACAGAGGGGGCAAGCGUUGUUCGGAAUUACUGGGCGUAAAGGGCGCGUAGGCGGCCUGCUAAGUCGAACGUGAAAUCCCUGGGCUCAACCCAGGAACUGCGUCCGAUACUGGUUGGCUUGAAUUCGGGAGAGGGAUGCGGAAUUCCAGGUGUAGCGGUGAAAUGCGUAGAUAUCGGGAGGAACACCGGUGGCGAAGGCGAGUCUCUGGGAUGAUACUGACGCUGAUGCUCGAAAGCUAGGGGAGCAAACGGGA